rnacentral:rRNA from 1 species
AGUGGAAGCGUCUGGAAAGGCGCGCGAUACAGGGUGACAGCCCCGUACACAAAAGCGCAUGUGCUGUGAGCUCGAUGAGUAGGGCGGGACACGUGGUAUCCUGUCUGAAUAUGGGGGGACCAUCCUCCAAGGCUAAAUACUCCUGACUGACCGAUAGUGAACCAGUACCGUGAGGGAAAGGCGAAAAGAACCCCGGCGAGGGGAGUGAAAAAGAACCUGAAACCGUGUACGUACAAGCAGUGGGAG